CCCCUAGAUGUUCUGGGCCGCACGCGCGCUACACUGAACAGUUCAACAAGUCCUAACCUUGGCCGAUAGGUCUGGGUAAUCUUUGAACGCUGUUCGUGAUUGGGAUAGACCUUUGCAAUUAUGGGUCUUCAACGAGGAAUUCCUAGUAAACGCAAGUCAUCAGCUUGCAUUGAUUACGUCCCUGCCCUUUGUACACACCGCCCGUCGCACCUACCGAUUGAAUGGUCCGGUGAAAUCCUCGGAUCGAGCCGUGGGGCAACUCCGGUUCGAGAAGUUGAUUAAACCUUACCAUUUAGAGGAAGGUGAAGUCGUAACA
rnacentral:rRNA from 1 species